rnacentral:rRNA from 1 species
CCUACGGGUGGCAGCAGUGGGGAAUAUUGGGCAAUGGGCGCAAGCCUGACCCAGCAACGCCGCGUGAAGGAAGAAGGCUUUCGGGUUGUAAACUUCUUUUCUCAGGGACGAAGAACGUGACGGUACCUGAGGAAUAAGCCACGGCUAACUACGUGCCAGCAGCCGCGGUAAUACGUAGGUGGCAAGCGUUAUCCGGAUUUACUGGGUGUAAAGGGCGUGUAGGCGGGGAAGGAAGUCAGAUGUGAAAACCACGGGCUCAACCUGUGGCCUGCAUUUGAAACUGUUGUUCUUGAGUACUGGAGAGGCAGACGGAAUUACUAGUGGAGCGGGGAAAUGCGUAGAUAUUAGGAGGAACACCAGGGGCGAAGGCGGUCUGCUGGACAGCAACUGAAGCUGAGGCGCGAAAGCGUGGGGAGCAAACAGGAAUAGAUACCCUAGUAGUC